rnacentral:rRNA from 1 species
UUAAUAAAUUUUUUUAAAUUAAAAUGAUUAAAUUAGUAUAAUUUUAUGAAUAAUAUUUAUAAUUUAGGCAAAAAAAAUUUUCACCUGUUUAUCAAAAACAUGUCUUUUAGAAAGAAUUAAAAGUCUAAUCUGCCCAAUGAUUAAAAAUUAAAUGGCCGCGGUAAAUUGACCGUGCAAAGGUAGCAUAAUAAAUAGUCUUUUAAUUGGAGGCUUGAAUGAAUGAUUGAAUGAGAAAUUGACUUAAUUAAUAUUAAUAAUUGAAAUUGAUUUUUAAGUAAAAAAGCUUAAAUAUGUAAGUGGGACGAGAAGACCCUAUAGAAUUUUUAAAAUCUUAUUAAGUUUAUUUUUUAUAGUUAAUUAAUUUUUUUUUAUUUAAAUGGUUUUUUUGUUGGGGUGAUAUUAAAAUAUAAUUAACUUUUAAUAAAAAUUUCAUGAAUUUAUGUAACUUUUGAUCCAAAUUUUUGAUUAUAAGAACAAAUUACCUUAGGGAUAACAGCGUAAUUAAUUUGAAGAGUUCAUAUCGAUAAAUAUGAUUGCGACCUCGAUGUUGGAUUAAGAAUAGGGAUUGGAGCAAAAUUUAUUAUUUCUGGGUCUGUUCGACCCUUAAUAUUCUUACAUGAUCUGAGUUCAAACCGGCGUGAGCCAGGUUGGUUUCUAUCUACUUAAUAAUUUUUAAUGUUAGUACGAAAGGACCUCAUUAAAUAAUUUUAUUAU